rnacentral:rRNA from 1 species
UGAGUAACCUGCCCUUAACUCUGGGAUAAGCCUGGGAAACUGGGUCUAAUACCGGAUACUCUCCUCUGACCACCUGGUCGGAUGAGGAAAGGUCCGCCGGUCGGGGAUGGGCCCGCGGCCUAUCAGCUUGUUGGUGGGGUAACGGCCUACCAAGGCAUCGACGGGUAGCUGGUCUGAGAGGACGACCAGCCACACUGGGACUGAGACACGGCCCAGACUCCUACGGGAGGCAG